rnacentral:rRNA from 1 species
GAUGAACGCUGGCGGCGUGCCUAAUACAUGCAAGUCGAGCGAACAGACGAGGAGCUUGCUCCUCUAACGUUAGCGGCGGACGGGUGAGAAACACGUGGAUAACCUACCUAUAAGACUGGGAUAACUUCGGGAAACCGGAGCUAAUACCGGAUAAUAUAUUGAACCGCAUGGUUCAAUAGUGAAAGACGGUUUUGCUGUCACUUAUAGAUGGAUCCGCGCCGCAUUAGCUAGUUGGUAAGGUAACAGCUUACCAAGGCAACGAUGCGUAGCCGACCUGAGAGGGUGAUCGGCCACACUGGAACUGAGACACGGUCCAGACUCCUACGGGAGGCAGCAGUAGGGAAUCUUCCGCAAUGGGCGAAAGCCUGACGGAGCAACGCCGCGUGAGUGAUGAAGGUCUUCGGAUCGUAAAACUCUGUUAUUAGGGAAGAACAAAUGUGUAAGUAACUAUGCACGUCUUGACGGUACCUAAUCAGAAAGCCACGGCUAACUACGUG